GUGAUCAUGGAUCUUGGCCUGUGAUGCAGUUCCGUUGUCCGCAACAUGGGGAAAGCUGUGAUUUGAAUUGGGCCAGAGCUCAGCUAGGUGACCAACUGCCAAGGGGGUCAGAGUGAAACAUGGAAGAUGGUGAAGCAGUUAAAAAGAACUUUGUAUGAAUACCACUAAUCUGUGUGGGAAAUACAAAGACAGCUUGCAAAAAAAAAACAUGGCCAUCAACAUCAAGGAAGAUUAAUGUGAACGAAGAACAAGAGCAAAGAUCAAUACAGCACAGGAACAGGCCCUAUGGCUCACCAGGCCU